AUCCUGGAACUGUCAAGGAGCUGGGUGGUAUACUGACAGCUCAGGCCAGGUCCCACAGGGGAGCCUUCCAUGAAAAAAAUGACUUCAUUAAACAAACAAACAAACAAACAAACAAGCAAUCAUCUUUGGCAGUGAAGGAUACACAAAAAAUAGAGAAUCAAGAUUUCUAAAAAGGUUCUUCCAGGACUCAAGCUAGACACUCAGAACACCACAGAAGGAAGUCUUUUCUACAGUGUGGACAUCUCAGGAGCCAACAAAGGUGAUCAGUGAAACGUGGAUGUUUAUUAAAUUACAAAGUCCAGGGGUGACAACAGAGGAGGCUAAUCAGAAGUCAUGCCAAUCACUGCGGUUUUUCCUGACAUGGCAAGCUGUUUCUGUCUGUGCCUGAAUCCUGAACUGCCCGAUCGACACUCAUGCCUAACACUGGGACCAGUCAAAUAAUUUUAAUGAGCAAUUUUAAGGUGACUGGCCUAUUUUCCUUCUCUGGUUUGGUUUGUUUUUGUCCUAGGACAAGAUACUGGAGAGUUCUGAUAAAUGACGCAACAGUGCCCCCUGCAGGCCGUCUGUGCUGCACUCCGCCAACCUGGCACCUUCUGAACCAGAAGCCAGCUCAACUUUAUCUAUAACCUGGAAUAUUCAUUACAGAGUAAAUUUGUAAAAUACACUGGGGACACCCCUGAGAUAGAAUAAAAUGACUAUUCUUCACGUGUAGUAAAUUGUUUCCCAGAUAUAAACAUACUGUUCCGCUGACGAGGAACCUGUGAUAGAGCAGAUAAAUCGCUACCCUUUCACCUCAGGGCGCCUGCUCCACUCGGCCUUGAUUAACACGGCCCCAAAAUUACUUGACCUGGAGGCUGUACAGAGUCUUGGAGGCUCAACUUUGAUGUUCUCUCAUCUUCCUCCCCACUCUCCUGCCUCCUAAAAAGAUUGCAAUCAAUACAAAAGAAACAACACAGCUAUAAAAGGUGGAGACUUCCCGUUAGAAGACUAAUGGUGGCGAGAUUCAUACGGCACGGGCUGCAGAUGACUGCCUCGCCGAGAGAUGCACUCAGAGCGGCACACACGGCGAGGUGUGCUCAGGUGGCAGAGGAAAUAGGUAUUUACACACACAAUUGCUUAUCCCCACACCGGGAAAGACCUGGAAGCACUGGACGUCCUGUACGGUGAGACCGAAGUCAACACACUGAGCCAUGUGAGUAGCUGACAGAGCUUUGCCACUGUCCCACUGUGCUCCUAGCAGCGGAGCCAGGCAUGCUAACUUAAGUUUCAUCUCUACUACUGACUAGCAGUCAGCCUGGGCGACGUGCUCUGUAUCCUGAGCUGCAGUCUCAUCACAGAGAGCACUGAGCACUUCCAGUUGUUGUCAGCUGGUUCUAGUUCACUAUCACUACCGGUGGCUCCACUCCAAGUUUUAAGGGAAAGGAGGGAGAAAGCCAUGUCUAUGAUUGCCGCUCUCCGGGAUCUUUUAUCCAGGCUGGAAGAUGUCACCUGCCUGGAGGGUCACGUGGCUCAAGACGCUGUAUUUUAGGUAAAGUUGAAUUGAUCCAAAGUGUCUGUGAACUGCCUAGAUUUUUACACCCAGUUGCUCAGAGAGCCUGGAGCCCAGACCUACAUCUGUCAUUUCUAGGUGCGAAUACUUAGCCCAAGCCCAGAGAAGGACUAGCGCAGGUUGUUUCCUCUCUACACCUCACUCAGCACUAACGGGCCUCCAUUAUCAGUGUGGGGCUUCACAUUUGGACACUCUGCCAAAGGAGAGGGCAGUGUGAAAGAGUGCAUUCUUGACUUUGUUCUUUUGGUCCGUCCGGGCACUGUUCUAUUGCUGUGAGAAGACAACUUGGCCAAGGAAAUUAAUUAAUAAGAGAGAGCAUUUAACUGGAGACUUGUUUAUGGUUUCAGAGGGUGACUCCAUGAUCAACACGGCGGGAAGCAUAGCAACAGGCAGGCAGACACAGUGCUGGUGCAGUAACUCAGAGCUGACGUUUGAUCCUUCAGAAGAAGGCAUAGAGACUGAGCCUGGCAUGGGCUUUUGAAACGUCCUGAUCUACCACACCUUCUCUAACAAGGCCACGCCCCCUAGAAGCCACACCCCCUAAUCCUUCCUGAACAAUCCACCAACUGGGAAGGAGACAUUCAAACACAUGAGCCUGUGAGGGCUGCUCGCAUUCAAACUACCACCUGACCUAUGAUAAGGAUGAUUUUACAGAAUACUCCGUGUGUGUCAGGUACUUGUCCUAGGUGUUUUAUAAUUACUUAAAUCAACCCUAUGAAACAGGUUCCACCAUUAUCCCUAGGCAGAUUACAAAGGGGGAGAAGUGAGGUUCACAGGGAGUUAAGUAACUUGUCUACUUAUGAUUUUCAGUUGUACCUUCCCUAGAGUUAUGGAAGUGGAGCCAAGAGUCAAACCUCAGAGUCUACACAGACAACCACUAUGACAUAAUCAUACAAUUUGCUCUAGAAAAAAAACCUACUUUGCCCCACAUUCAAAAUUGAGAAUGAGGAAUCUCUUGCAAGAUUCUAUUCAAGGACCUACACCAUACAUGAUUUUCUUUCCUUCUUACUUGUUCUCAAGGACACCCAGUUUAUUUGCCCACGAGCAGCCAGCACAGUGUGGCAGAGGAAGGGCAAUCCUCAGAGGACGACUUAACUGUGAGUCACUCGAGAGCACCUAAGCAGGAUCCCCGUCUUUUCUCCCUGGGACCUGGAUCUCCAUGAAAUCGUGACUCAAUCUCUUUCUGAGUAUUGGUUGUUCUGUGUUACAUAACCCAUUUCUAAUCAAGGGUUACUCAUCACUGUUGCCCCAGGGUCUAGGAUAGUACCAGCUAGGAACUCAGUCAAUAUUUACACAACUGACAAGUGACUCACACCAGUCACAGCAACAAUAACAACCAUUGAUAAAGGACAGCACACUGUCACCCAUAAUCCCCAACACCUAUGACACAGGUGUGGAUUUACAAGUGCUCUCUUAAGGCGGAUUUCCCAGUACAACACCUUUCUUAAAGUGCAGGUUUUAAAAGCAGCAAAUGUCUGGUAAAUUGAGUUGGAGCCAGGGAGUAGCUAAGGGACAAUGAGUGUGGAAUCCCUAGGCUAGUGUUCCUGGGGACACCUGGUGUUCUCUGGAGGGGCUUUACAAUGACAAAGGCAAGAGUCAUCUAUCACAAGUGACCAUGUAUGGGGAAGCUCAGGCAGGACAAUUUGCUAUCUUUAACCUGAAUGGAAUGGCAUUGGUUCAGAUGUGUUGAGCUUUGUUUACCUGGCUCUGUGCAUUUUACAGGCACACUAUGCAGUUGCCUGGGGGAAACAGUACCUGCCACCCUCCUCUGCCCCCCAUGAGAAGAGAACCUCUGUAAGGAGGCUGCUCUUCAGUUAUGGUCCCUGAUGUGUUUCCAAAGCCUGGAGCAGGGCUUGGAAAACAGCAGCCCCCCCCAGGAAAUAUUUGCUGAAUAAGUAAAUGAGUGAAUAACUAUUUUCUCAAAAAAGUUAAGAAGUAUUGUCUAGAAGACCAGCCAACAGCUCAUUACAAUCAGUAGCCUGGCAGAGCUCCAACUCACUGGCCCACGUGUUGAUUUUAUAAGUAAGAUGUGCAGAAGCCAACUGGCUUCUGUCCCCAUAAAGCUGUUCAAAUGAUAGUAACAAUGGCAGGAAUAAAAACACCACUGCCCACCUGAAGAUCAGCUGCUGCAUCCUGGACAGAAGUUAACAUAGUUCUUUAUUCAGUCAGUCCUUGCUCUAUUUUUAUAUAACGCUCUAAUCCCUACACAUUUAUGAGGAGGUUUUAUGGAGUUAUCAGGUUUUAUGGAGUAAUCUGGUUCAGAGACACAAAGGACGUCGCUCCUUUCCUAAGGGUGGCAGAUAGCAGAGGCAGCAAUUCCUAAAGAGAAGUACAGAUAUAC
rnacentral:lncRNA from 1 species